rnacentral:rRNA from 1 species
CACGUAGGGGGCAAGCGUUGUCCGGAUUUAUUGGGCGUAAAGAGCUCGUAGGUGGUUCGGUAAGUCGGGUGUGAAACCUCCAGGCUCAACCUGGAGACGCCACCCGAUACUGCUGUGACUGGAGUCCGGUAGGGGGAGCGUGGAAUUCCUGGUGUAGCGGUGAAAUGCGCAGAUAUCGGGAGGAACACCGGUGGCGAAGGCGGCGACCUGGGACGAUACUGACGCUGAGGUGCGAAAGCGUGGGGAGCAAACAGG